rnacentral:rRNA from 1 species
UGGGGAAUAUUGCACAAUGGGCGAAAGCCUGAUGCAGCAACGCCGCGUGAGUGAUGAAGGUCUUCGGAUUGUAAAGCUCUGUCUUUUGGGACGAUAAUGACGGUACCAAAGGAGGAAGCCACGGCUAACUACGUGCCAGCAGCCGCGGUAAUACGUAGGUGGCGAGCGUUGUCCGGAUUUACUGGGCGUAAAGGGUGCGUAGGCGGAUGUUUAAGUGAGAUGUGAAAUACCCGGGCUUAACUUGGGUGCUGCAUUUCAAACUGGAUAUCUAGAGUGCAGGAGAGGAGAAUGGAAUUCCUAGUGUAGCGGUGAAAUGCGUAGAGAUUAGGAAGAACACCAGUGGCGAAGGCGAUUCUCUGGACUGUAACUGACGCUGAGGCACGAAAAGCGUGGGUAGCAAACAGGAUUAGAUACCCUGGUAGUCCACGCCGUAAAACGAUGAGUACUAGGUGUAGGAGGUAUCGACCCCCUUCUGUGCCGCAGUAAAACACAUUAAGU